CAGUUGUUCCGCCAGGAGCACCGCUGGGUAGCUAUGUACGGAAGGGAUAAGCGCUGAAAGCAUCUAAGCGUGAAGCCCCCCUCAAGAUGAGAUUUCCCAGUAUGUAAGACCCCUUGAAGACGACGAGGUAGAUAGGUUGGGGGUGGAAGUGCAGUAAUGCAUGGAGCUGACCAAUACUAAUCGGUCGAGGGCUUAUCCUAA
rnacentral:rRNA from 1 species